rnacentral:rRNA from 1 species
UACGUAGGGUGCAAGCGUUGUCCGGAAUUAUUGGGCGUAAAGAGCUCGUAGGCGGUUUGUCGCGUCUGCUGUGAAAACUCGGGGCUUAACUCCGGGCCUGCAGUGGGUACGGGCAGACUAGAGUGCGGUAGGGGAGACUGGAAUUCCUGGUGUAGCGGUGAAAUGCGCAGAUAUCAGGAGGAACACCGAUGGCGAAGGCGGCUCUCUGGUACGUGACUGACGCUGAGACGCGAAAGCGUGGGGAGCGAACAGG